AGAACGAACCAGAGCCAGAAAAGGAGCAACUGUCCUCCCAACUCUUCAUUCCGGAGAAGACGGAGAGACAACGUGGCAGUUCCGCUUCAGCUGUCCUGAAGUUGAAACCAUCCAUUACGAGAUCAUAAGAACAUGGUGUACCAACAGUGUUUCCUGUGACUGAACCUGAAGAGACUGGCUGUCCAAAACACACAGCCUCCUUCGAGGUGUUGAUGCGGUAACCUGUGACAGCUGGAGCCGGGGACACAAUGUCCGAGUGUUUUCACCAAACACACUUCAGCAAAACACAGGGAAAGUACAGUAAAUGUUUUGAGCAGAAAAAGUGUUACCUUAGUUCUUUAUAUUUUGCCUCAAAGGAGCAAAACUUUAUUGUGAUCUUUUAAGUGGAUCUUGAUCAACAGUAUUUCUGUUUUGGUUGUGUUUCACUAACCUUCUGUCCAGUUCCUGACAAUUUUCAUUAGAAUCCUUUCUUGUUUGUUGAGCCACAUAUUCCUUUGGCUUGUGAAAACCUGCAUAUUUUCAUUGGCCUCUUCAUCAAACCAUUUUAAAAACUGAGAAAGGAACAAGGGUUGAUUUAUAAGUGUAAUCCUAACAAUAUUGUCUUCUAAUCAUAUUCAGUUCAAUUUACAGAAAACAUCUAAACAAUUUGUGUUGAAAAAUGAUCUACAACAAAAUGAAGAAGUGAGCUAAUUAUGAGUUAAUAAUUUAGUGCUGACCUUUUCAAAGUAGCAUGGUUUGCUAGAGGUCAUUGUAGAAAUGACUGAGGAUCAAAUCAGUAAAACACCUAAUUAUUAAACUAAGUGAUUUGCAUUUUAAUUGAAAAGGUGUCUCAUAUCGACAUGCCACCGACAUGUCAUAAGCACAGUCAUUUAUUGCAUCAAUAUGACUGGGAUAGUUACACAACAAGUGGCCUUUAUGUCAGCCUGCAUGUCUGACAGCUUUAUUAAUGUAUGCACCUGAUUUAUCCAUCAAGAUUACUAAUCUCUAAAAUAUGUGCCUAUGGGUUAAAUAGAACUGCAUUUUAAAAGCUGUGUUUAAGCCUCUGAAUAUACUUGACAUUCUUUUGAUUUGUUUUUGUUUGUUUUAUCGCUUUUUAUGAAUUUGUUUUCUGUUCCAUUUCGUCUUUAAAAUCUACUGAAUUUUUCUUAAUAGAAUAUUACGAACACCAACCAUAUUUGGCUCAAAUCUUAUAUAUCUUAUAGCCUUUAUCAUCAGCUGCAGUCCUUGUGGUUUGCUUAGAAAGCCCCACUCUUACUGCAGUCUGAUUAGUGAGAUCUUUUACCUCAUUGCCAGUGCUUUAUCUCAUGAGGUUGUUCAUUGGAGCGUCUGCCCUCCACCUCCCUUCUCACAGCGCACCUAUGUUGCAUAAUUAAACUUGAAUAAGAUCAUUAGCAUACAAAGCAGGAAACUUACGGCCAUGGAGUCAUACAUAUUUAUCUGGAUGUGCCUGACUUGUGCACGCACACCUUCAUACUGUAACCCCUUUUGCAUACAAACACAACUGUUUCUCUUUUGCAGGAGACAGGCGAACACGGACUAUAAAAUGCACAUUAUCCAGAGUAUGUUUGCUUUAAGAACCAUAUAUUUAUCUGUGAACCAUCUGAGUAAAUACAAGGUUUUCAUCUGAGCAAGCAUUUUAAAGCAUGCAAGGUUAACUGUAGAGAAUGUGUGCAUUUGGAAACGGAGCAGAUGGAUUUUGAUUAGGAUCAUUUGGGCAGGUUGCUUUCAGCACAUCAAAUAAUGCUUGCACACAGAGGAACGUUCCCGAACAAGUAAUGCCUGCAGUCCAAACUCAUCUGCUGCACAUUAACAAACAGAAAAGACAAACAGAGAACACUCCCUUCUGAAUAAUCAUGUGUUGACUCAUGAAUGACUCCUUUUCUCUCUCCUUUCCCCUCCAUCCUUUCCACUAGAAAUUAACUUUCUCCUUAACCACUCUCCUUACUUAAUGGGGAUCACGUUCCAGCCUUCUUUUUCCUUCCAGCUGGGAGAACAGCUCUCUCCUUUUGCAGCUACAUGGACUCCUCCAUUAGUAUUCCUUCUUCCUUCCCACUUUUCCCUUCCUCCUGUGAGAUUGCUGUUGUGUCUUAUGGCUUUUUAUUCCUACGUGAUAGUAGAUGGGUUCAUGUAGGAGUAGAAGCCACUAAACACGCGGUGAGUGCUCGACAUGCUGGCCAACACAUGCAGAGAGCUUCCUGUGGAUAUGACAGCUGCCAUGUUCACAUCAAUGUCCUGCCCAUUAUCCAAAAUGCACACAUGGUUUAAAUAUAGUUCAGGGAGAUCACUGAAAAGUGGGCUGCUUUUACACCCGAGACACAAUCUGGUCCAAAUUGGAAUAAAAACUAUAUAGAUUUGAAUUGUUUUCAAACUAAUGUUAUAAAAUCAACAGCAACCUUCAGUUAAAAAUGUAUCCCUAAAGCAGAAUUGUCUUAAUAGACCUACUUUCCCCAGCUGCAUACUGGCUGCUUGUGUCUUGAAUUUAAAAUGAAUUUCUUCACUUUCCUAAAUAAAACAACUCACUCAGGUAGCUCAUUCAAUACUGUCUGAAUCUAUUUGCAGUUCCCCGGUGAAGUUGGGUAGAGGACAUAUUGGUUCACAGAAACAGACUGCUUUAUAUCCCUCUGUUUAACAGUGUUAAAGGUUUUUUUUUUUUGUAGCACUACAUAAUACAGUCCAUAUACUGACACAAGUUUAACCUCUUAAGCCCAAAGGACCCUGCCCACGCCCCUUUUUGGCGGUCAGUAAAACUAGGUAAAACUUCACUGAUUUAUUUUUUUAUUAAAUAUAUCGCAAGAGGUAGCUUUAAUCAUCACAAAACAAUUCCCCAAAUGAGUUUUGCACAAAUACCUUUUAGUUUUACUGCAACUUAAACACAGGCAAAGACAUUUUAAGGUCCGUCUGACAUUGCUCACUCUGUAAACAAAUCAGUACAAAAAGCACCUUUCUCUUUCCAGCACCCACAUACGUCUCAUAUUAUAACAAACUGGAGACAUUGACUUUUCUAACAAGGCAUAACUUGUCUUUCUAGGCCUUUCUCUGGUGAUGUAAUUUGCUUGCACAUUAUAGUCUGCUGGUUGCUGUCCACCGGAUGCUAGCUUGCGCGCUACUCCAUUAGCUUCCAGUUAUGUUUGCAACUGUACAUUUUGAUGGUAAAUGUCACAACCAAAGACUAUGCCAUAUGCAGAAGGACUCCUACAAUGGAAAUCAGCACUUUCAUUUGACCAGAUUCCCUUUUAUUUCCUUUUUGAGUUGAAAAAUGCAUUUGUGAAAGUUUUGGCACCCUUUGCCUAACUGCCAUUUCUGCCUGGCACAUUGCCCUCUAAAACUGUUGUGGAACACAUAUGCUUCAACUUAUUCAGUCCAAAUUUACUGGAUCUGGAUGAAUCUGGAUCUGGAUCUGGAAGAUCUGGAUGAAUGCAACCUGGGGGUUCUCCUAGGAAUACCAAAGGUAAUUCCAUAAUGUUUUGCAAUGUUCAUUUAGAAAAAACGUUUGACGAGGCUCUUUGUUUAAUCACAAAUAAAUCAGACAUAGUAACAGUUCCAGUAGUGGUUCCACUGGACAAAUAUUCUUUUAUGUCUUACCUUUACAUGGGUACCAAGUGUUUGCAUGUAGGCCUUAUAACUGUGGAGCUAUACUUGAUUUAUUUAAGGUAUGUAAUUUCAGGCGGAAAUUGCUGUAAAACUUUUUGGGGCCUAACAGGUCAAACUCUUUCCAGGAACUCUGAGAUUGCUUUCCAGAACUUACCAGGUUUGUUCCUGGAACUUUUAUGGAAUGUUCUUGUUACUUUCAAGAAACCGACCAGGUACUUUUCUCUUUCAGAAGUUUCAGAAAGUAGCUGAUAGAUUCUAGAAAGUUAAAUCUAAGUUAUGGAUAAGGUAAUAGGUAAAUUAUAUCGAGGAUCCAGGACAAUACCUAGAAAGCCAUGUAACAUGUAGAUUCUCCAAAAGUACAGCUUAUAAUGGAGAGCUAUCAAAUUGUCAAAUCAAAUCAUUAGACCUAUUUGUUACUCUGACAUACAGAUUCCAUUGCAGGUUUCAGGUAUAUGCAACGACUCAGACCUCCUAUAACUUUAGGGCUGUUUUAAGAACACCAUGGUUGUGAUUUUUACAAUGCAUUGCUUUUGCAUUGUAUAAUUAGACUGGGAACUCUUGAGAACAUCCAUUUGUUUCUAUACAUUUUCCACAGACUAUGUUGAAAGGGACUCCAGACUGUUUCAACAUGGAUGGUCUCUCUUGAAAAGGAUCACACAUUAAUUAAAUGCAGAAAUUUAUAAAAUAGCUUUAUCUUUGUUAUGCAUUUGAUAAAGUUUGAGUAGUUUUAGAUAUCUCAGAUCCACUGUCUAGUGGUUGACUAGUCAUUCACUUGUUUCGACUUACUGAAUGAUUGUUUUCCCUGUUCUCCAAAAAUCUGACCUGUAACAUUUCUGGUCCAUUACUAAAUAUACCUUAAAUUGGCAUUUUCUUUUUAACUGCCUCAAACCUGGAUGAUCGAAAACUCGCAAAAUCAACUCCAUUUAAACUGUAAUGCAGAAAAGUGGAUACAUUGACCCUAGCUCAAUCAUCUAUGCCCAUUUAACAAUUGAAAUUAAAAUGCAUUGAAGUUUGAGAGGUAGACCAAAUUUAAGAAUAAUAAUAAAAGACUGAAAAAGAACGUUUUAUUGCUUCACAAAACCAAAAAAAGUAUCUACCAAAGCUUUGUCUAUCCCAUUGGUAAUGACAAUACCGAUAAAACAAAACAUGUUGUAAAAAAUGCAUAGGAUGGCUCCUUUUGAAUCAUCUUUGUGGGACCAAAAAGAGAUGUGAAACUAUAGGUCACAUUUUGAGUUCUUUGAAAAGAUAUCCAGGUCUAAAGAGAUGUGUUUGAAAUGCAGCAGACAAUCCCAGUCCGUUUAGUUAAACUUGGGGCCACAAUCUAAUUUGCCAAAUUUCACUGGUACAUCACAGCAAUUUGCUGAUUGGCAGAAGUUGGUCAUUGUGCUGACCUUGAAGCACCAGAUUUUCAAAAUUUCCAAACAGCCUUCGUAACAAGUUUCUUGAUUCCCUUAAAACUUCAUGGCAAGAAACUUUAACUCAAGUCAGAGCAACCCCCUCCAUUUCCUCCUAAAUUAUGUACAAAUUCUGGCACCCUAGUAAUGCACCGCACUAAUUUUCGCCUGAGCUGAACUCGGUGUCAACUAAUUAAGCAAGAAACUCAAAUUAUCCUGCUGGUGGGUCCAUUCAUGUGCUGCAGGGUUUGGGUUUAAAUGUCAGCCCUCUGUUUGUAUUUGCUGUGAAAUACGCUGCCAGCCCGCUCGCCUUACACACAAGCCGAAUAAAGUCUAAACAAGCAGAACCUGAGAGCUGAAUUAUUAAUCCCUGGAUAUUACAAGAAGCUGACACAUGUUUGCAGUUAUGGGACAUUACUGCUCCGAUGAUAUGAGAUGUAAAAGAAUUUGAGAUGAAAACUAGAUAAGUUCUGCUGAAGUUUAAUGAUUUGUUAAUAGCUGUAAGAUGUGAUCUAAUAAUCAGAGGGGAGGGUUGACAACUUUCUGUUCCUUGCAUUAUCUAUUUAAUUUAUUUUUCAGGUUCCCACUCCCACAUAGGCUUUUUCUGCUUCAUUGAGUCAUGAGGGGGUCUGAGAGAAUAUUUGAACAGAAGGAAGACAUUAAAGAAGGCAGAGAUAAGCUUCGAUUUUUAAACCUGUGGGAGUCCAUGGGAAUCUAAAGGUGGGAAUCAACAGUGAUGGGGUCUAUGGGAAAAAGCCUGCAUUAUUUACACCGGCACAGGCUUAUAAAGAGAAAGCAGUGCUUAAAUAGAUUGCUGCUGUCUUUUGUCUGGCCCAAAGGUUUGUUCCAGUUCCACAGUUAUGAUCCAAUCAGCCUGCAAGCCUUACUUUCAAAUGUCAGAAUGAUAAGACAGACAACACGUGAGCUCAUUUUACUAUUGACAAUUUUCAUUUUUUCCCAAAUUAUGGUUUUUAUGACUUUAUGGCUCAUGAUCAGAUUCUACAAGGUUGUCGGAUCCUUAGGUUCAGGUGGAAAUCAUCAACCCAAGUGUAAAGGGAUUUUCCUGACAGAUGCAAUAAUAUGGUGUGUAUUUAUACAGUAGGUUUAAUUUAUGAGUGUUGUUCUACUUUAUCUCCACCCUCCUCCAGGCUCUGCUUUGAUUUUCCUGUAAUAAAUAAUGCUCUCAUGUCUUCUGUGCUGCAUUUGUUCCCAGUUGUAAUCUCUCUACUGUUAAAUAAAUUAUGAAUAAUGCCAAUUCAA